GGAGGGCUGUCCGAGCGGCCGAUGGAGCCAGUCUUGAAAACUGGUGAGGUGAGAGCCUCCGUGGGUUCGAAUCCCACGCCCUCCG
rfam:Cnuibacter physcomitrellae strain XA(T), complete genome.